GACGAACGCUGGCGGCGUGCUUAACACAUGCAAGUCGAACGCUGAAGCUUGGUGCUUGCACUGGGUGGAUGAGUGGCGAACGGGUGAGUAAUACGUUAGUAACCUGCGCUUGACUCUGGGAUAAGCCUGGGAAACUUGGUCCAUUACUGUAUACGACAUGACACCGCAUGGUUUUGUGUGGAAAGGGUUUUACUGGUUUUGGCUGGGCUAACGGCCUAUCAGCUUGUUGGUGGGGUAAUGGCUCACCAAGGCGACGACGGGUAGCCGGCCUGAGAGGGUGACCGGCCACACUACGACUGAGACACGGCACAGACUCGUACGGGAGGCAGCAGUAGGGAAGAUUGCACAAUGGGCGGAAGCCUGAUGCAGCGACGCUGCGUGAUGGAUUACGGCCUUCGGGUUGUAAACCUCUUUCAGCACUGAAGAAGCGAAAGUGACGGUACGAUAAGAAGAAGCGCCGGCUAACUACGUG
rnacentral:rRNA from 1 species